rnacentral:rRNA from 1 species
AGGCCUGCGGGUUGUAAAGCACUYYYWSUARAGAAGAAAAGCCUGGGGAUAAUACCCCCGGGUCUUGACGWAACCUACAGAAGAAGCACCGGCUAACUCCGUGCCAGCAGCCGCGGUAAUACGGAGGGUGCGAGCGUUAAUCGGAAUUACUGGGCGUAAAGCGCGCGUAGGCGGCUGGGUCAGUCGGAUGUGAAAGCCCCGGGCUUAACCUGGGAAUUGCACUCGAUACUGCCCGGCUAGAGUAUGGGAGAGGGAAGCGGAAUUUCCGGUGUAGCGGUGAAAUGCGUAGAUAUCGGAAGGAACACCAGUGGCGAAGGCGGCUUCCUGGCCCAAUACUGACGCUCAGGUGCGAAAGCGUGGGUAGCGAACAGGAUUAGAUACCCUGGUAGUCCACGCCGUAAACGAUGAGAACUAGAUGUCGGGAGGAUCUGCCUCUCGGUGUCGCAGCUAACGCAUUAAGUUCUCCGCCUGGGGAGUACGCCGGCAACGGUAAAACUCAAAGGAAUUGACGGGGACCCGCACAAGCGGUGGAGCAUGUGGUUUAAUUCGAUGCAACGCGAAGAACCUUACCUGGUCUUGACAUCCUCGGAACUUUUCAGAGAUGGAUUGGCGCCUUCGGGAACCGAGUGACAGGUGCUGCAUGGCUGUCGUCAGCUCGUGUCGUGAGAUGUUGGGUUAAGUCCCGCAACGAGCGCAACCCUUGUCCCUAGUUGCCAUCAU